UAUGCUCCCAUCCGGCGGCCGUUAGAACCUCCAGCUUCGCCGUCUUCUCCUAUGGGUUUGGUUCCUUCUUGCUCCACCCUUCCUCCACUUUCUGCCGCUCACACAAAAGAAUUCACUACUAAAAGGUAACUCUUCUCCCUUCCUUUAUUUUGCCUUAUUUUCCAUUUCUUGAUAUUUAAUCAGUGGUUGUCUUUGUUUAUGAAGUACUGUGAAGUCCACCAGUGUGGGGAAAUCUUGGAGGUAGCUAUCCGGAGUGUGCAAUAUGAACACAGGUUCCUCCUCUCCUUCUUUAGUAUUGCACUUUCCCCCCUUUAGAUAUGACCAUGCUUUCUUUUCUUUCUCUCCUUUUGAACUGUUCGAGUUGAAUUUGUGCUUCAAGCACACGUUUACUUUGGUUCGAGCUGACCUCCAUGCUUUCUUGUUAUAGAUGAUGUUUUACCCCUGCCUGUUUGGUGAAAGUUUUUGCGUGCUAAUGUAGAUUAGUAAAAGCUUUGUUAAUGUAGCUAUAAUGACCCCCACCCCCUUAUGUGGGCAUUCUCUUAUGUAAUUAUUUAUGUUGCACCCCUUCCUUUCCAGAUUAAGAACUUGAUUCUGAUUUGUCAUGUGGUUUUUAUCCUGAUGGAUGACAUCUGUGCUUUAUCAAUAUUAAUGAUGUGCUUUCUUGUUGUUGUUAAUUCCGCAAACUCUCUGAAUUCCUUUUUGUCUGUGCUAAUGAUAGCUGGAUUAGCUAAAUAAUCCGCCAUUUGAUUGCCCUCCCUGAAAAUAUAUUGAACUGUAACAUUUUGUUGUUGUACUUCUCUGAUUAUUUCAUCCAUGAUUUCUGCAAUUUCCCAUGGUACUCUCCGUGUCUGUUGAAUAAUGUUCUUUAGAGUGAGUGAAUCCAUUUUAAUAACCAUGUUCUGUAAACUAUUCAUUGCACUAAACCUUAAGGCCUCUUGUAUUGCUCUUGCCUCCGCUUCUAUAUUCAUAGCAAUACUAAUUCCGUUUGCAUAGAUGAGGUCUCCAGUUUUGUUUCUUAUGCAGAAACCAUACGCACUCUCCCCUGGAUUUCCUUUACUUGCACCAUAUGUAUUACACUUCAAUUGAUCUUUCUUUGGUAGCUUCCAUUUUACAAUCUGGUCGUAAAUCCUUGACUUAUAAGCUCAUAUUAUUUUCACCAUUUCAGGCCAAGAUUUCCCAGUUAUUUUGAACUUUUAAUUGUUAACUAUCACCAUCAAUUAAAUGCUCCUUCCCACUUGUUGUAACAACUCUUCAAAGGUGGACUGACCUCCAUGCUUGAUAUGGUUCCUUUUCUUCAACAAAUUCCACAUAAUGAGAGCUGGCAUAACUCUAAAGAUAUGUUUGAGUUUUGUAGGAGCUUCCACAUACCACUAGCUCUUGAUCAUCUACAUCAAAUUUCUGCCUCCUGUGUCCAAACCUGCUCAUGAAGCAAAAUACUUCCAAAGCUUUUGGGCAAUGUUAGAUGUUAGAAAAAGAUUUGACAUUGUUUCCAUUUGUUGUGUCUCAUAACACCAACACUGGAGACAAUGUUCAUUCUCAUUCCCCUUAAAUUGUCAUAUGUGGCAAUCCUCCCUUUCCACGCCCUCCAUAAAAAGAAAGUAAUCUAAAAAGGCAAGCUUUUCAUUCAAAUCAUAUCAUAUGAUUCCUCCAUCUCCUUUUUCUUUCUCAUUAAAUCCCAAUAUGAUUUAACUGAAAAGAAACCCUUUGAGUUUUCCAUCCACCAAGGUUUAUCCCGAUCUCCUGUAUUCAUUACCGGAGAGAUAGAACUCACAAUGUGAUCAAUCAUUUCUUCAGAAAUAUACUGUAGGAGUUUCCUCCUAUCCCACUGAUUUCUAUAAUAAGAUUUUUCACCUCCAGCUCCUUCUCCCCCCUUUUAUUUUCUUCCACAUAGUACCAUGCCCCUUGUUUUGUCCAAUCAUCUUUCUCCAUACAUGAGAUGCCCCAUGUCUCUGUGCCAUUAUUGGAUGCCAUUUUUUUUACAAUAUUUGUUCCACAUAUAUUCACUCCACAAAGAAUUAGUGGAUGUUCUGAAUAUCCAUCAUAAUUUAGCAAAUAGAGCAUCUGAUACGUCAUGCAUCGAUCUAAAACCCUCUUAUUUUGGUAAGCACAUUGUUUCCCAAGCAAUCUAGUGUUUCCCUUUUACUCCUCUUAUGUGACCCCAAAAAAACUUUGCCAUAAUCUUAUGAAUCUGAUUUAUUACACCCUUGGGAGGAUUCAUAGCAGACAUAAGAUAAAUAGGCAUUGCUUGUAAAAUAUGAGCUAUUAAAACAUACAUUCCCCCAUAAGUCAAAAGUUGAUUCUGCCAUCCCAUCACUCUUUUGGCAACUUUCUUUAUCAGCUCUUCAAAAUAUGACUUCUUUCUUCUCCCGUAAAAAUUGGGCAUCCAAGAUACGUAAAAAGAAAGACUCCUUGUGAGAUUCCAGUAGUUCUUUUAAUCUUCUGACAAACUGAAGAAGGAACCUUUUCAUGCAGAUAUACAUAGCUUUUGUUCAGGUUUAUGAGCUGCCCUGACACAUAUUCAAAUCUCCGUAGAAUCUUCAUCAUUUUUUUCAUUGACCUCUUAUGCCAUGAAUAAUAAAGGAUUGUAUCAUCCCCAUAAGACAAAUGAUUAAUCUCUCUACUCCAUUUAGGCAUCCAAAUCUCUUGAAUUCUGAAUCCUCAUUUAGCCUGUUGAGACUUCUACCUAAUACAUACCUCCGCUGUUAUGAUGAAUAAAGUGGGGGAGAGGGGAUCACAUUGCUUCAGUCCCAAGAAGAUUGAAAAAACCAAAAGAUUGGCCAUUAAUUAACACGGAGUACCAGUUAUUAGAUAUUAAUCUCCACACCAUAUAAAUAAUCCUCUCAUCAAACCAAAAUCUUCUCAUAACUUGAAUAAAAAAUAUCCCUGACACCCUAUCAUACGCUUCAGUCAUAUCCAACUUCACCACAACGUUAUGGUAUUCAUUCCUCUUGUUUAUGUCUCUAAUUAUCUUUUGCCCUUGUAAAACAUUUUCAACAAUACUUCUUCCUUUCAUAAACCCCGACUGAUUUAGGCAGAACCCGAAUUAUUCUUUCAUGCAGUACCUUUGACAAAUCUUAUUAGCAAAAGAGCUCAAGCUGAUAGAUCAUAAAUUUGAUCUUCUCCGAAAUUAGAACUACAUUCGUGUGAGAAAUAUAUUGGUAUUUCCCCACCACAAAAAAUAACCAUCACCAUCAGCCUUAUAUCAUUCUUUAUAAUCUCCCAACAUGUUAGAAAAAAUUCUUCUAAAAAUCCAUUAGGCCCACAUAUGUUCACUUUAUUCAAGUUGAACACUGCUUCCUUAACUUCUUCCUCUGUAGGCGCUCUUGUCAUUUCGAUAUUCUAUUUUGUAGUUAUACUUCUUUCGAGCAUUGCUUGAUCCUCAUAUCAUUGACCCUCUUUAAAUUAUUCUCUAACAUUAACUACUUUCUCUCCUAUGUUUUGAGUGGUACGUAUCGUAUCCCCCGCUGUCUAAAUUUCGUUAAUCAUCGGUUUCCUCAUGCCUUUCACAUAUGAAUGAAAAAACUUCGUAUUUCUUUCUCCUUCUUUGAAUCAUGGCAUCCCAUUCUUUUGUUUCUAGUAAUUCUCUUCUAGUUGAUUAUAUUGUCUUAUAGAAUCUUCAACUUUAGCUAAAUCCUCUUUAUUUGCCAUUGAAGGGUUCAUUAGCAAUAUCCUCCAAAGUGGCUAUCGUCACAAAAAUAUUCCCAUAUAUUUCUUUACUCCACUGCAUCUCGCAUACACUGUUGUUAUGAUAAUAUCCAACUUCAAGAAGUCUUUUGCUCCAACUUCCAUCUUUUUUCAUCAUUUUUUAUCAAAUACUUGAUUGCUUGACUUCUUUAGCUCCAAGUUCUGAAAUUCACCAAUUUAAGUUAGUUUAGAUUAUUAAAUUAUACUAAGGACACUUAAAACUCAAGAAAAAAGGUAAUUCAUAUGUUGGUAAUUUGUCAACUUACCACUUAUAUGAGGCUUAUGACAUUGAGGAAAGAAAAAGAAAAGGCUCUCACAUCAAGUUUCUCUAGAAGCUCCUCAUUAGAAGAUGGGGGGUUGUUCAAGUAGUUCUUUCCCAACUUCAAGAAGUCUUUUGUUGCAUUCCUCCUCAAAACAGAAGCACGAGCCAGGGAAACCAUUUUCUUUUUUCACAGCACACAAAGAACAAGAAGAGCACUACAAUUUUGAAACCAGGUUUUAAGUCUCAAAAACCCAAAAGAAAUCACCAGAGAGUAAAGGGAAAAAUGGAAGUGCAGAAAGACCUAAAAGGUAACGUCAGAUACUAGUUUCUAAAGAAAAAGUAAGAGAGAAAGAGAAAAAGCAUGGGUUAAAUGAAAAAUGGAGCACAUACAUCAUAGGCAACACAUAUAUGUCAAUGAGUGAGUAGGCUAUUUGACAGAUGUGCGCUGCCUAUGGUGUAUGCGCUCCAUUUUUCAUAUAACCCCUUCUUUUCUCUCCAUCUCGCUUACUUGUUCUUUGUAAACUACUAUAUGGCGUUACCUUUUAGGUAUUUCUACACUUCCAUUUUUUCCUUUGCUCUCUGGUGAAUUCUUUUGGGGUUUUGAGACUUAAAACCUGGUUUCAAAAUUGCGGUUCUCUUCUUGUUCUUUGUCUGCUGUGAAAAAAUGAAAUGGUUUCCCUGACACGUGCUUCUGUUUCUGAGUAGGAAUGUAACAAAAUACUUCUUGAAGUUGGCAAAUAGCUGCUUCAGCAUCCCCAUCUUCCAAAGAGGAGCUUCUGGAGAAGCUUGAUGUGCGAGCCUUUUCUUUUUCUUUCCUCAAUGUCAUAAGCCUUGUAUAAGACGUAAGUUGACAAACUUACCAACAUAUGAAUUACCUUUUUUUCUUGAGUUCUUAGUGUCUUUGAGUAUAAUUUAAUAACCUAAACUAACUUAAAUUGGUGAAUUUCAGGACUUGGAGCUAAAGAAGUCAAGCAAUCAAGUAUUUGAUCAAGAAUGAUGAAAAAAAUGGAAGUUGGAGCAAAAGAAUAAUAAAAGUAGAGAUUGAGAAGUCAUAAAAAUCGUGCCCAAGUUUAGUUUUCGUGGAGCUGUUUAUGAGGGUAGAAGAGCUUGAAUUUGGCCAAGUCUGAAAAAGGAACAAGUCUGUCUCACUCCACGAAUGAAAAUGGGGAGACGAAAAUUGGAAUGUCUCCACGAUUUUGCCCCAUGAAAUUGGCAGCGGAAGGUCAUCUUUGUCCAGAUUUUGAGAGUUAUUUAAAUAUAUAUUAGACCAUUUUUCUUGGGGAGCUGUUGAUUUGAGCAGUCUAGGAGGAGUAUCUCUAGUUAACUUUGCAAGGAUUAAGAGAUUUUCACUAUAGAGUUUGCAUCUUCUUAUUUGUUUAAUCUUGAACUAUGUUUAUUAUUAUAUUGUAUUUUCUUCUUCUAGUAUGAGUAGCUAAACCUAUUAGUUGUAGACUUUUAUGUGAUUGAAUACUAGGUUAUCUUGCUUAUUAUUAUUUGGGUUGUGAUUAUCUACUCGUUUACAGUCUUAUUUGUGAGGUUGCAAACACUAGAUUUAGCCCUAUAUAUUCAUUUCUUGCUCGGAAGGGUGACACUUGAAUUGGAUCUAGCAUUGAUUUUCAGAUCAAUAUUAUCCAUAAAUGGUGGUAAAUAUAUACAAUUUGAUUUAUAAUGGAUUGUAACGUUUGUUUUGAUUAUAUAUGAAACCUACAAUUAAAAUACCAUAAUUUUGUAAAGGAUACCCAUAAUUUAUAAUGGUGGUAAAUAUAUACAAUUUGAUUUAUAAUGGAUUGUAACGUUUUGUUUUGAUUAUAUAUGAAACCUACAAUUAAAAUACCAUAAUUUGUAAAGGAUACCAUAAUUUAUAAUGGUGGUAAAUAUUUCGUUUCAACAACUUCAGCAAUAAAAAAAAUGAAUCUACAAUUCAAAGCCAUACAAGAAAGAUCAAAUAAUUUACAAUUAAAUAUCGUAGGAACAACGAUAUCAUAGCAAUUAUUAAUACUUCUGAUCAUAUCCUCGCAAUUUUUUUUAAUCAAAUUUUUGUUGGGCCCGUGGCCAUUUUAUUAAUUGACAAGCAAAAUUGGUCUGGCCAAACGACCCUAAUAAGAAAUAAAAGGCAAGAAAAUAUCUAAUCCAGCCCAGAAAGUAACCUUAUAAACUUCCGCCUCAUUCUCACUUUCCUUUUAUCCUUGUCAUCCAUAUGCUCCCAUCCGGCGGCCGUUAGAACCUCCAGCUUCGCCGUCUUCUCCUAUGGGUUUGGUUCCUUCUUGCUCCACUCUUCCUCCACUUUCUGCAGGUCACUCAAGAGCAUUCACUACUGAAAGGUAACUCUUCUUCCUUCCUUUCUUUCGCCUUAUUUUCCAUUUCUUGAUAUUUGAUCUGUGGUAGCCUUUGUUUGUGAAGUACUAUGAAGUCCACCGGUGUGUGGGAAUCUUGGAGGUAGCUAUCUGGGGUGUGAAAUAUGAACAUAGGUUCCUUCUCUCCUUCUUUAGGAUUGCACUUUCCCCCUUUUAGAUCUGACCUUGCUUUAUUUUCUUUCCUUCCUUAAAAUUGUUCCGGUUGAAUUUGUGCUUCAAGCGCUCUUCUACUUUGGUUCGAACUGAACUCCAUGCUUUCUUGUUAGAGAUGAUGUUUUACCCCUGCCUGUUUGAGAACCUGAUUCUGACUUGUCAUAUGGUUUUAUCUUUUUUUGUUUUUAUCCUGAUGGAUGGCAUCUGUGCUUUGUCAAUAUUAAUGAUGCUCUUUCAUGUUGUUGGUAAUUCCGCAAACUCUCUUAAUUCCUUUUUGUCUGUGCUAAUGAUUGCUAUAUUAACUAAAUAAUCCGCCAUUUGAUUGCCAUCCCUGAAUAUAUAUUGAACUGUAACAUGUUGUUGUUGUACUUCUCUAAUUAUUUCAUCCAUGAUUUCUUCAAUUUCCCAUGGUAUUCUCCAUGUCUAUUGAAUAAUUAGAGUGAGUGAAUCAGUUUUAAUAACUAUGUUUUGUAAACUAUUUAUUGCACUAAACCUUAAGGCCUCUUGUAUUGCUCUUGCCUCCGCUUCUAUGUUCGUAGCAAUACCAAUUCCGUCUGAUUAUGCACAGAUGAGGUCUCCAGUUUUGUUUCUUAUGCUGAAACCAUACGCACUCUCCCCUGGAUUUCCUUUACUCGCACUAUCUGUAUUACACUUCAAUUUAUCUUCCUCCGGUAGCUUCUAUUGUACAAUCUGGUAGUAAAUCCUUGGCUUAUAAGCUCCUAUUAUUUUCACCAUUUCAGGCCAAGAUUUCCCAGUUGUUUUGAACUCUAAAUUGUUAACCAUCACCAUCUAUUAAAUGCUCGUUUCCACUUGUUAUACCAACUCUUCAAAUGUUGACUGGCCUCCAUGCUUGAUAUGGUUCCUUUUCAUCAACAAAUUCCACAUAAUAAGAGCUAGCAUAGCUCUAAAAAUAUGUUUGAGUUUUGUAAGAGCUUUCACAUACCACUAGCUCUUGAUCAUCUACAUCAAAUUUAUGCCUUCUAUGUCCAAACCUGCUCAUGAAGCAAACUACUUCCAAAGCUUUUGGGCAAUGUUAGUAGUUAGAAAGAGAUGUGACAUUGUUUCCAUUUGUUGUGUCUCACAACACCAACAUCUGGAAACAAUGUUAAUUCUCAUUCUCCUUAAAUUGUCAUAUGUGGCAAUCAUCCCUUUCCACGCCCUCCAUAAAAAGAAAUUAAUCUUAAAAGACAAGCUUUACAUCCAAAUCAUAUCAUAUGUUUCCUCCUUCUCCUUUUUCUUUCUCAUUAAAUCCCAAGCCGAUUUAACUGAAAAAGAACCCUUUGAGUUGCCCAUCCACCAAGGUUUAUCCUAAUCUCCUGUAUUCAUUACCGGAGAGAUAGAACUCAUAAUGUGAUCAGUCAUUUCUUCAGAAUUAUACUGUAGGAGUUUCUUUACAUCAAGUUUCUCUAGAAGCUCCUCGUUAGAAGAUGAGGGGCAGCUGAAGCAGCUCUUUCCUAACUUCAAGAAGUCUUUUGUUGCAUUUCUCCUCAAAACAGAAACACGAGCAAGGGAAACCAUUUUCUUUUUUUCACAACACACAAAGAACAAGAAGAGCACCACAAUUUUGAAACCAAGUUUUAAGUCUCAAAAACCCAAAAGAAAUCACCAGAGAGUAAAGGGGGAAAUGAAAGUGUAGAAAAACCUAAAAGGUAACGUCAGAUACUAGUUUCUAAAGAACAAGUAAGAGAGACAAAGAAAAGGACGGGUAAGAUGAAAAAUGGAGCGCAUACAUCACAGGCAGCGCAUAUUGGUCAAUGAGUGAGUAGGACUAUUUUGUUUCCAAGUUAUUUAAUUCACGCAAUUAAGACAACCUCAGUCCUACUCACACAUUGAAAUUGUUCUUUAACAACACAAAAGUCCUACUCACUCAUUGACAGAUGUGCGCUGCCUGUGGUGUAUGCGCUCACCCCUGUUUUUCUCUCCGUCUGUCUUACUUGUUCUUUGUAAACUACUAUAUGGCGUUACCUUUUAGGUAUUUCUACACUUCCAUUUUUUCCUUUGCUCUCUGGUGAAUUCUUUUGGGGUUUUGAGACUUAAAACCUGGUUUCAAAAUUAUUGUGCUAUUCUUGUUCUUUGUCUGCUAUGAAAAAAGGAAAUGGUUUCCCUCUCACGUGCUUUUGUUUCUGCGUAGGAAUGCAAUAAAAGCCUUCUUGAAGUUGGGAAAUAACUGCUUUAGCAACCCCCAUCUUCUAAAGAGGAGUUUCUGGAGAAACUUGAUGUGAGAGACUUUUCUUUUUCUUUCGUCAAUGUCAUAAGCCUUGUAUAAGUGGUAAGUUGACAAAUUACCAACAUAUGAAUUACCUUUUUUCUUGAGUUUUAAGUGUCUUUGAGUAUAAUUUAAUAACCUAAACUAACUUAAAUUGGUGAAUUUCAGGACUUGGAGCUAAAGAAAUCAAGUAUUUGACCAAGAAUGACGAAAAAAAGAUGGAAGUUGGAGCAAAAUAACAAGAGAAAUAAAGAUUGAGAAGUCACAAAAAUCGUGCCCAAGUUUAGUUUUCGUGGAGCUGUUUAUGAGGAUAGAAGAGCUUGAAUUUGGCUAAGUGUGAAAAAGGAACAAGUUUGUCUCACUCCACGAAAUGAAAAUGGGGAGACGAAAAUUGGAAUGUCUCCACGAUUUUGCUCUACGAAAUUGGCAGCGGAAGGGCAUGUUUGUCCAGAUUUUGAGAGUUAUAUAAAUAUGAAUUAGGUCAUUUUUCUUGGGGAUGUCACGCCCCGAGCCUACACCCUGGGCGGGACUGGUGUAACAUCCGGCAAUGUGAAAUAAAUGAAGAGGCUUAGAAUUGGAAAUUUUCAUUUUUGGAAAGAAUUUUAAAGUUUUGGAAAUUUUGCUAAGUAUGGAAAUCAGUGAAUUUUGGCCAACUUUGAGCAGUUGUAACUCCUAGCUCAGGAUGAGUUAGGAGUAUUUCCAGUUAUGGUUGCGAAGCUUGUGGAAUGGUCUUUCCAACGCCGCCGAGUUUGUUCAAUUCCGAGUUCAUAUGAGCGAAUUAUGGCCAUUGAAAGUUGGGCAGUUGGCAGGGAAUCCGUCCAGAAAUUUUAAGGGCAUUUUGGUCU
rnacentral:lncRNA from 1 species